AUGAACGCUGGCGGCAUGCCUAACACAUGCAAGUCGAACGAAGUGCCUUCGGGUGCUUAGUGGCGCACGGGUGCGUAACGCGUGGGAAUCUGCCCCUUGGUUCGGAAUAACAGUUGGAAACGACUGCUAAUACCGGAUGAUGACGUAAGUCCAAAGAUUUAUCGCCGAGGGAUGAGCCCGCGUAGGAUUAGGUAGUUGGUGUGGUAAAGGCGCACCAAGCCGACGAUCCUUAGCUG
rnacentral:rRNA from 1 species